rnacentral:rRNA from 1 species
GUACGGGAGGCAGCAGUAGGGAAUAUUGCACAAUGGGCGAAAGCCUGAUGCAGCAACGCCGCGUGCGCGAAGAAGGCCCUCGGGUCGUAAAGCGCUUUUCUGAGAGAUGAGUAAGGACAGUAUCUCAGGAAUAAGUCUCGGCUAACUACGUGCCAGCAGCCGCGGUAAAACGUAGGAGGCAAGCGUUAUCCGGAUUCACUGGGCGUAAAGCGCGUGCAGGCGGUUCGGAAAGUUGGGCGUGAAAUCUCCUGGCUUAACUAGGAGAGGUCGUUCAAUACUACCGGACUUGAGAGUGAUAGAGGAAGAUGGAAUUCCCGGUGUAGUGGUGAAAUGCGUAGAUAUCGGGAGGAACACCAGUGGCGAAAGCGAUCUUCUGGAUCAUUUCUGACGCUCAGACGCGAAAGCUAGGGUAGUAAACGGGAUUAGAUACCCUGGUAGUCA